rfam:Clostridium sp. ATCC 29733 genomic scaffold Scaffold351, whole genome shotgun sequence.
AACUAUAUACGUUGUCAUUCGUAGACAGCAGGUGCAACUGCGUAAGGGCUCCGGCCCGCCUGCCGAGGAUGAGGCGAGAAAUUUUGAUUUUUCUGCCCUUCCUCUGCGCGAGGAAGGGUUUUUUCUUGCGCGA